UACAGAGGUCUCAAGCGUUGUUCGGAUUCAUUGGGCGUAAAGGGUGCGUAGGCGGCGCGGUAAGUCGGGUGUGAAAUCUUGGAGCUUAACUCCGAAACUGCAUUCGAUACUGCCGUGCUUGAGGACUGGAGAGGAGACUGGAAUUUACGGUGUAGCGGUGAAAUGCGUAGAUAUCGUAAGGAAGACCAGUGGCGAAGGCGGGUCUCUGGACAGUUCCUGACGCUGAGGCACGAAAGCUGGGGGAGCGAACAGG
rnacentral:rRNA from 1 species